UUGAAUUUUUAUAAAUGGUUUCAGUGGGGCAUAAGUUAUAAGCGCGUUGUCUAAACAUACUCCGAACCCCAACUUGCCUUGUCUGUAGAAUUUCUGUUUGAAAUUCUCUAUGUUGGGGCCCCGAACCCCAACUUGCCUUGUCUGUAGAAUUUCUGUUUGAAAUUCUCUAUGUUGGGGCCCCGAACCCCAACUUGCUUUGUCUGUAGAAUUUUUGUUUGAAAUUCUCUAUGUUGGGGCCCCGAACCCCAACUUGCUUUGU
rnacentral:ncRNA from 22 species